CCUCCUCCACGUGAUUGGUUGUUAUCUGGAACGAUAAAAUUCCUUUUAAAUCAGUUUGUACCUGUUUACUUCUGCAUGGAAACAAGCUCCUACACCUGCAAUCAUAACAACCACUCCGACCCAAAACGUCAUUGUGACCAAAAAAACGACCCCAGAACCGUCAACUCCAUCACCGACAGAUGAAUCCAUCGUCUCUACACAGUUGAUCCCUGCAGGAAAGAACUUUGUUGUUGGUCUGUCAAUUGGGUUUUCCACCAACUUACCAUGGGAAGACAUCAAAGAUGAAUUCCUGUCUCAGCUGAAAACUGAAUUUCUAAAACGUGGACUUCCACCAGACCUCAGUCUACAGAUCCUGAAGAGCCAAAAAGUCUAGAAACCGUCAUCAUCAACCGAUAAUGGCUGAACCAAACAACAAUGUUUUAUAUUGUUUGAUAUUUUGCUUUUUUUAAAACAAUUUCCUGGUCUAUUAUUCUAUGAAGUUUCCAUAGAUCUCACGCCUGUGUUUGCCCACAUUGGAUUCAAAUGGUACUCAGUGGGCUGGCUUACUACGCUGGUCAGUCGUGUAUUGAUCCUCGGCCGUUUGCUCGGGAGAAGACUGAGCUUAACAAAAAUUAAGAAAUAAGUUAAAAAGUUAACAAUAUUUAAUAAAAUCUCACAUUCAACUUAAGUUAGACAGAGAAUUACUUUACAUUCAAGCCAACAUCUUCCUUAGAAGGCCCAGUCCCACUGGUUUACUCGGCCAUAUCACGGCUGGAGCAAGAAAAGAAUGUCAUCCCCGUGGUACAGACGCUGUUAGCAGCGGACUGGUACGGCCGCGGAAUCAACACGCGGUACAAAGUUCAGCCGCUGGAACAAGUUUAAAAAUGCACAAAAAUUGAGACCGCCGUUGACUGCGUGUGGUACCAGCAGUACAGAGUGCAAAAAAACGGCGGUGCGACAGCAAUUUCAGUGCGAGACGCGCUUGGACACAGAAAUUCUACGCUAGGC
rnacentral:lncRNA from 1 species